CCUUCCACCACUUGGUAAAUCUCCUCCACUGCAUCGGAGUUGUUUUUAGCAGUAUCGAGUUUCUCCUUUUUUAAUUGACGAGAAGAGAGAUUUGAUUGGAAGUUUUUUGAACUUCUUUCGGUCGAUUAUGUUUAUGAUUAUGUUUGUGAAGAUAGAGAACAUUUGUUUGAUGAGUAAGAAUUGAUUGAGAUGGAAAAAGGAUGAGAUUGGUUAGACAAGAAAAGAGCGUGAGAUCCGUGCUAAUGGGGGAGAAUACUUGGACACAUGAAGGCUUGAUGUAACUAUCCUAAUAUUAUCGGUGUAAUUCAACCGAGAACCUUCUUGGACUCACGAGUGUUGAAUGGAACUAUAUUAAUAUUAUCCGGGUGAGAUAAAUUUUUUGAAACGUCUUGGUACAUACUAAUCAUUCAUAUUAGAUAUCUACACAAAACUCACGCCCUUUUAGAUAUCAUUUAUCAUUAUUUAUCAAAUAUGCAAAUUCAAAAGUCAUUUUGAAUAGUUAGGCAAUUUAUGCAAUGUGCUUCAAAAGAAAAGGGGAAUGGAAAGCUUGAGUAAAGUCUUUAAAUGAUGGAAUUGCUUUUCUUUUCCAGAAAUAAAAUACAAUUUAUGAUAAUUAUACCUUAUAUUGUUAUAUGUAUUGCAAGGUGCCAAUAUGAAAGUUCUCUUGAUUAUCAAGAUAAUUACACAAUGUUGGAAGUAUGUUGCAUUAUUAUUUUUUGAAAGGAAAGUAAUUUGCAUUAUAUUUAUCAAGAAUUGAUAAUCUCGUAAAAAAGAAUUGAUAAUCUCAUAUUAUA